CUCUUUCACAUUUCCCAUUCAAUUAUGAUGGCCGCAUAUUGUAAACCUGCCUAGGAAUCCUGACUCCAACCAAUACCGCAGCAAGGUAGGCUUAAAAGCCCUGCACAGCAGCGUGCCAUUUUAUUCGAAGCAAGGAUCAGUCGCAUCCACCCAGGCCGUUAACAGACAGUCCAUCCGCAUGUUGUGGCUUACAUCAUCAAGAAAAACAUAAAACCACGGCGGGGAGCGAAACUGUGUAGAAUGAAUCUAAAAGUGGACACUCCCAACAUAUUUCAAACCAACCUACUUGUUAAGGACUAAGACAGUGAUCGUUAACAGAGGUAGCCUUUUCAUCCACUGAACCAUUAUCACAAGACACGCCUGAUGGAACGUUGAUCAGACCUCCAACACGUUUUCCAGUGAUUGCGCGGGAAGAGCGGGUGAUCAUUCGCGAAGACUGUAUGAAAUAGUGACGAAUU
rnacentral:lncRNA from 1 species